AAAGGGUGCGUAGGCGGCCUGUUAAGUCAGGGGUGAAAGACGGUAGCUCAACUAUCGCAGUGCCCUUGAUACUGACGGGCUUGAAUGGACUAGAGGUAGGCGGAAUGUGACAAGUAGCGGUGAAAUGCAUAGAUAUGUCACAGAACACCGAUUGCGAAGGCAGCUUACUAUGGUUUUAUUGACGCUGAGGCACGAAAGCGUGGGGAUCAAACAGGAUUAGAUACCCGUGU
rnacentral:rRNA from 1 species